rnacentral:rRNA from 1 species
GUAGUCCACGCCGUAAACGAUGGAUACUAGCUGUUGGGGUGCAAACCUCAGUGGCUAAGCGAAAGUGAUAAGUAUCCCACCUGGGGAGUACGUUCGCAAGAAUGAAACUCAAAGGAAUUGACGGGGGCCCGCACAAGCGGUGGAGCAUGUGGUUUAAUUCGAUGAUACGCGAGGAACCUUACCAAGGCUUAAAUGUGGAUUGACGUAAUUGGAAACAGUUAUUUCUUCGGACAAUUCACAAGGUGCUGCAUGGUUGUCGUCAGCUCGUGCCGUGAGGUGUCAGGUUAAGUCCUAUAACGAGCGCAACCCCUGUGGUUAGUUACCAGCAUGUAAAGAUGGGGACUCUAAUC